GGAUAUAACAUUGUUAUCAGCAAUGAGGAAAGAUGCACAUCCCUCUAUCUAUAGUGGUGAUCUCAAUUCUCAGCAAAGAAUUAACCCUAACAAAGCUGAUUGUACCCAUUGGUGCCUUCCUGGCCUGCCUGAUACUUGGAACCAAUUAUUUUAUACUGCCCUUUUCUACUAAUUUAUAUAGUAGUACUCUGCCUGAUACUUGGAACCACUUAUUUUAUACUGCCCUUUUCUACUAACUUAUAUAGUAGUACUAUUACUAGUAUUUUAGCUUUUGCUAGCCUAUUCAUGCAAUUCAUUUUAGGACACACAAAAUGUUCACACUAGUUGUGCACUUAAUUAAGAUGACUGUUAAAUGAGAGUUACUUAGGCUGUUUAACAGUGAAACUGAAUCGGCACUGUAGAUUUGUUCUGCUAAUGAAAGAUAUUAUUGGCUAAUGGCUACUUCAAAUCCAUGGGUUUCUAUGUUUUUAUUCUUCUUCUAUUGGACUUUAAGUCAUCCAUGUCUAACCUUUCUCCAUCUCAUAAGAAAUGCUGGUUCUAAGACUUGCUAUUCAAACAUUAUUUUAUUAAUAUUGCUCAACACCUUAAACACCCCCCCCCCC
rnacentral:lncRNA from 1 species